GUGGGUGCAACAGCCCUACAACUAAUAUUAUGAGCAUAAAAAUUACCUCUAACUUUUCAAUAGAUGCCAUUUAAGAGUUCUAUAGCUAUACCUAUGCACAAGAUUGUAAGUUGUUAUUCUCUGAUACAGUACAAUUCUGUUCUUCUGCUAAGAGCAAUGUAUGAACAUCUUUUUUAAUCUUUUAAGUCAUGUCUUGCAACCAGGUGAGAAUACAUAUAAAAACAUGAGCAGAUGUUUCUGUGUAAUGAAGUAAUGUUCAUUAUAUAGUCAUGCCCUUGAAUAGUAAUAUGGAUGUCCAAGAAAUGAAAUUUAUCUUUUGACAGCUGUUCCAAUUUCAACUUUAGGCCUAACAUAGAGUUUGAUAAUUGAGAAAGAACUACUUGUGUCGGAUGGUUUUUCCUCCACAUUGUGAUGAGUCAUCAACAUAUGUGGUGUAUAUUCUGAUACUUAGAGUGUAAGAACUGAGAUCUUACUGCUCUGUGUCUAAUUAUGAGCUCUGCCAUAAUACAAUGAGGGGGCCACCAAUUAGGACACCUCUUUUUUGCAUAUAACAGCAGUCUCUAACAGUGAAAUAAGAAUUAUAGGAAGUAAGGUAGUACAGUUCGUUUAAAUCUUGUUUUUUUAUUGUAGGCAUCUGGAGCAUGUUCUAACAUAAAGUUACAAAGGAAGAGUCAAUCUAGGGCAAUUUCAAUAGAUGGAUACAUCAUCAUCUAAACUUUACAGAAACUUGGAAAUUGCUUAUUUGUCAAAAAUCUAUCUAGCUUUCUAUAGAAUUCAUUCCAUAGGAUGAAAAGCUAACAGUUCAGACUUAGAUUCUUCAAUAAAUUUCUUGAGCAGAUGUUCAGAGUUAUUGACUCUCAAAAUAACUAAUUUCUUUGUUUUAUUAUUCCUCAUAUAUAUAAUAAAUUCAUCUCACAUCCAUUGCCUCAUGUAGUGUAAAGCAGCAGUAUUUUGUCUAUGAACUUGAGCAGUCACUGUGAUAUUACUUUAUAGGUUCUGUCUAACAAUAUCCCACCUAGCUUUUCUUUAAGAUAGUUUAAUCUAAUGAGAGAAUUAGGGAGUCAACUUCCAGUGCAAAAUCACUUAGUUUCAUUCCUUGGUUCAAAACACACAUCAGUCCUUUCUUUAACAAAUCUUGAAUGUAUGAAGGAUUAUAUACUGUUAGAACAACUUUGCUUCAUUAAUAUAAAUAUAACAGAGAACAGGCUCAAUAAUCAAGGAAAACUUUUUUGCUGCGGUAUAACGUUUUCGGUCUGUGGAUGGAGCCCC
rnacentral:lncRNA from 1 species